UGCUCUGUGAUUACUUGCCUUUGGCAAUAUACGCUAUUCCGAUUCAGAAAUGAGCGGAAAGUUUUUUAGUUACUAAUGAGCG